rnacentral:rRNA from 1 species
GAUGAACGCUGGCGGCGUGCAUAACACAUUCAAGUCGAACGGAAUGUAGCAAUACAUUUAGUGGCGGACGGGUGAGUAACGCGUGAGUAACCUGCCUUCAAGUGGGGAACAACAGUUGGAAACGACUGCUAAUACCGACAUAACGCAACCGAAUCGCAUGUUUUGGUUGUCAAAGGGCUGCAAGGCUUGCUUGAAGAUGGACUCGCGUCCGAUUAGGUAGUUGGUGAGGCAACGGCUCACCAAGCCGACGAUCGGUAGCCGGACUGAGAGGUUGAACGGCCACAUUGGAACUGAGAUACGGUCCAG